rnacentral:rRNA from 1 species
GACGAACGCUGGCGGCGUGCUUAACACAUGCAAGUCGAACGGAAAGGCCCUGCUUUUGUGGGGUGCUCGAGUGGCGAACGGGUGAGUAACACGUGAGUAACCUGCCCUUGACUUUGGGAUAACUUCAGGAAACUGGGGCUAAUACCGGAUAGGUGCUCCUGCUGCAUGGUGGGGGUUGGAAAGUUUCGGCGGUUGGGGAUGGACUCGCGGCUUAUCAGCUUGUUGGUGGGGGAGUGGCUUACCAAGGCUUUGACGGGUAGCCGGCCUGAGAGGGUGACCGGCCACAUGAGGACUGCGAUACGGCCCAGACUCCUACGGGAGGCAGCAGUGGGGAAUAUUGCACAAUGGGCGGAAGCCUGAUGCAGCAACGCCGCGUGCGGGAUGACGGCCUUCGGGUUGUAAACCGCUUUCGCCUGUGACGAAGCGUGAGUGACGGUAAUGGGUAAAGAAGCACCGGCUAACUACGUG